rnacentral:rRNA from 1 species
GGGGAAUAUUGGGCAAUGGAGGAAACUCUGACCCAGCGACGCCGCGUGCGGGAUGAAGGCCUUCGGGUUGUAAACCGCUUUCAGUAGGGAAGAAGCGAAAGUGACGGUACCUACAGAAGAAGCACCGGCUAACUAUGUGCCAGCAGCCGCGGUAAUACAUAGGGUGCAAGCGUUGUCCGGAAUUAUUGGGCGUAAAGAGCUCGUAGGUGGUUCGUUACGUCGGAUGUGAAAAUCUGGGGCUCAACCCCAGACCUGCAUCCGAUACGGGCCGAGCUAGAGUUUGGUAGGGGAGACUGGAAUUCCUGGUGUAGCGGUGGAAUGCGCAGAUAUCAGGAGGAACACCAAUGGCGAAGGCAGGUCUCUGGGCCAAUACUGACACUGAGGAGCGAAAGCGUGGGGAGCGAACAGGAU